rnacentral:sRNA from 1 species
AGACUCCAUUUUGGCCCCAGCCGUGCUUCUAGGAAGUAGAGCGCCGGCUCGCAUGCCUGCCCGCCCGCCAGCUUGCCGGGUACGGCCUUUUCCGCCGGGGCUUCCAGAUGAUGGUGGUGCUACCCCAGUACAGGAUGAACGGGAUUCAGGGUCAGACGGUGAGGAUGAUGUAAAUGAGCAACACUCCGGAUCAGACACUGGAAGUGUAGAACGUCAUUCAGAGAAUGAAACUAGUGAUCGAGAAGAUGGCCUCCCCAAAGGACAUCAUGUGACAGACUCUGAGAAUGAUGAGCCCUUAAAUCUUAAUGCUAGUGACUCUGAAAGUGAGGAGCUUCACAGGCAAAAGGACAGCGACUCUGAAUCUGAGGAACGUGCAGAGCCUCCUGCAAGCGAUUCUGAAAAUGAGGAUGUCAAUCAGCAUGGGAGCGACUCUGAGAGUGAAGAGACCAGGAAAUUACCUGGUAGUGACUCUGAAAAUGAGGAGCUUCUUAAUGGGCAUGCAAGUGACUCAGAAAACGAAGAUGUUGGGAAGCAUCCCGCCAGUGAUUCUGAGAUGGAGGAGCUCCAGAAGAGUCCUGCCAGUGACUC